CAUAGGUUAAUGAGGCGAACCGGGGGAACUGAAACAUCUAAGUACCCCGAGGAAAAGAAAUCAACCGAGAUUCCCCCAGUAGCGGCGAGCGAACGGGGAGCAGCCCAGAGCCUGAAUCAGUGUGUGUGUUAGUGGAAGCGUCUGGAAAGGCGCGCGAUACAGGGUGACAGCCCCGUACACAAAAAUGCACAUGCUGUGAGCUCGAUGAGUAGGGCGGGACACGUGGUAUCCUGUCUGAAUAUGGGGGGACCAUCCUCCAAGGCUAAAUACUCCUGACUGACCGAUAGUGAACCAGUACCGUGAGGGAAAGGCGAAAAGAACCCCGGCGAGGGGAGUGAAAAAGAACCUGAAACCGUGUACGUACAAGCAGUGGGAGCACGCUUAGGCGUGUGACUGCGUACCUUUUGUAUAAUGGGUCAGCGACUUAUAUUCUGUAGCAAGGUUAACCGAAUAGGGGAGCCGAAGGGAAACCGAGUCUUAACUGGGCGUUAAGUUGCAGGGUAUAGACCCGAAACCCGGUGAUCUAGCCAUGGGCAGGUUGAAGGUUGGGUAACACUAACUGGAGGACCGAACCGACUAAUGUUGAAAAAUUAGCGGAUGACUUGUGGCUGGGGGUGAAAGGCCAAUCAAACCGGGAGAUAGCUGGUUCUCCCCGAAAGCUAUUUAGGUAGCGCCUCGUGAAUUCAUCUCCGGGGGUAGAGCACUGUUUCGGCAAGGGGGUCAUCCCGACUUACCAACCCGAUGCAAACUGCGAAUACCGGAGAAUGUUAUCACGGGAGACACACGGCGGGUGCUAACGUCCGUCGUGAAGAGGGAAACAACCCAGACCGCCAGCUAAGGUCCCAAAGUCAUGGUUAAGUGGGAAACGAUGUGGGAAGGCCCAGACAGCCAGGAUGUUGGCUUAGAAGCAGCCAUCAUUUAAAGAAAGCGUAAUAGCUCACUGGUCGAGUCGGCCUGCGCGGAAGAUGUAACGGGGCUAAACCAUGCACCGAAGCUGCGGCAGCGACGCUUAUGCGUUGUUGGGUAGGGGAGCGUUCUGUAAGCCUGCGAAGGUGUGCUGUGAGGCAUGCUGGAGGUAUCAGAAGUGCGAAUGCUGACAUAAGUAACGAUAAAGCGGGUGAAAAGCCCGCUCGCCGGAAGACCAAGGGUUCCUGUCCAACGUUAAUCGGGGCAGGGUGAGUCGACCCCUAAGGCGAGGCCGAAAGGCGUAGUCGAU
rnacentral:rRNA from 1 species